rnacentral:lncRNA from 1 species
UUGCAAACAAAUAGAUUUCUUAGUGAUCAUAAUAUCAGGUGGUGACUCUUGAACCUUUCAAAAUCAUGAUUUUAUGAUUAAUCCCAACACAUUCAAAAACCCCUCGAUCUCAAAGGAAAACCCGUCAUUUGACUUCGUGCACGUCACGACAAUAUAGCGAUUUCAUUGGGGACUUUUUAGUUGGACUAAACUUUGUUGAUUGUUUGUUUUUUGUGCCCAAUUUGUUUGUUGGUCUGGGUGAUUUAAUUUUAUCAUGCAUUUUCCUACAUAUUGUUGAUGCAUAAAUACAUUCACUAUGGAUUCAUGCCUUCAUGCAUUUUAAUUCUGUAAGUAUUAAAAUAUUAUUGGUCACGGUCUAAGAGGGACUCACUGUUGUUGCUAGCGCUGAGUGCGGCUGACUACAACCGUUGCUCAGAAGAAACAAUCUCAUAUUGCUCACGGUGGUUGCUGCUCAAGCAACUGAAAUCAUUGUUGUCGGUGCUGAGAAGAGAAGGUUGCUGCUAGAAGUGCAGGGGUGUAGCUGGUGCAGGCGAUUGGUGCUUUCAGUGAGGAGGAAAAAAUGUGUGACCUAUGGCCAAGAUGGAGGAACCUCUCUACUGCUGUUGGCUUGAGCUUGCUUAUGGUUGCUAGAGCUGAGGAUGACGCUGCUGUUAUGGUUGAUGCAUGCUCACGGUGGUUGAGGAAUUGUGACUAUCGAUGAUGGUUGCGUGCUGGUGCAAAAAGAGGAGAAGAGAAAGGUUGAAAUUGGCUUUCUGAAGGUGAUGAAGGGUCGCCUCUAGUGUUUUUUUGUUUUUGGUGAACAAGAGGAAAAGCAACGUGUAUGGACGGAUUGUUGAAGAUGGGACACGGUGGCACAGUUUAUACAAUGGGAGCUAGUUUUUUUUUUUUUUUUAUUGUGCUUCCCCUUUGAUGUAUACACUGAAAUCUGUAU